UCCCUCGCUCCCCGCGUGCGUCUCCUCUUCCUUCCCUCACGUCGCCGCCGGCCCAUAUCGAAGACAGAGAGAAAGAGCAGGGCACUCACGCAACCCUUCCUCACUGCCGGCUCGUCUCCUCUCCCACCUCAGCGCCGCUGCCUCUGUCUGCUCCGCCUCACUCUCCUCCGUCCCUCAGCGCGCCACGCCAUCUCCACAGGGUCCAGCCUCCACCGAAGCCGAUCUCUCCGCUGAGCACGCCCCGCACCGCCGUUGCUGUCGUGGGCUCCUCGGCACCGCUGCAGACGGGGAGGCGGCCUGUGGGAGGGCCCUAAAUGUGGCCGACGACUCCAUCCCCGCUCGCAUGUGGCGGCGGCCAGCCCAGCUCCGCCUCUUCCGACCCAUCUUCUUGGUAUGCAUCUGGAUGCUUGCCUAAAGAAGGUGUCUGCAUUAUUGAUUCCUUUGGAGGUAAUUUUCUUUCAACGUUCUUGUGUGCUGACAAGUCUAAUUAUAUUAUUCAUACAUCAGGGCAUCAUUGGUAGUGAAGGAGGACUCUUGCAGGUGCAAAAUAUUAGCAGAGGAAAAUCUAUAUGGUUUGAAGGGUUCAGAUUCAUAAUCUGAUACUAUUAGGACCCUUGAUCCUUCAACCAUUAUGAGAUUUCAAGGCAGAUAGUGCAUCUUGUACUGCUUACCUUGAUUUAAUCAAUGCCUUCUGUAGCUUAAGGUUUAAUUAGCAGACUACUAAUGCUUUGGUAAUCUCCUUUCUGAAUUCCAUACUUGGUACAACAAUGUUCCUCACCCGGUCACCCCAAACUGGUGGAAUAUAAGAAGGAUCAGAACUGGGUCACAAUGUCUGGCGAUUAUCUUGUUUUCUCUGGAGGCAGAACUCAAUUCAAAUAUGGUAUUGCAAGAUAUAUACAGUUUGCAGAACAGGUGCUACGUGACUUCACUGGUCGCGUUAUUGACUGGGAUUUCGAGUACGACAACUUCACAAAAAAUGCUUCGCCGUGGAGCUCGAAGGCUGCUACUAUUACUUCUUGCGCCAUUAUUUGGCAACGUACUGCUGCGGUGUCCAGAGAUGACACCAUUAGUAUGUGUCAGUUGUAUUGGUGACGCUGAGCACAAAGCUGUGAAUCUACUCCCUUUUGCUCUAGACUGUGUUUGGUUGUGGCGCCAACUGGCUAUCUCGACAACAUUGACGCUGAAGUUAUCGAGCCUCCGAAGAAUGGGAUGUAGAUGUGUAGAACUUGUCUGUGAUGUUAUCAAGCAUUCACGGAAUCCAAAUGUCAUAGUUUCUAGAAAUGGGCGUGAGCUAUUGGAAUGCCCCAUGUGUUUGGUUCCCAUGUAUCCUCCAGUUCAUCAGGAGUGAAUUGGGUAACAUAAGAUGCCUUGCUUUGGAGAAGGUUGGCGCCUCUCUAGAGGUUCUGUAAAAGUUCCAGAACUUUGGAUGCUUGGGAAUAUAUCCUUAUUAUUGCAAGCUGAAAAAUGAAUCAGAGUGCCAAUACAGACCAUAUACUGGCCCACAUGCAGGUUUUAGAUUUUUGUGGAUUUAUGUAAUGGAAUCUUGAUGUCUGGAAUGCGUCGAGAAAAUGCAACAUGACUUGAUGUUUGAAGUUACAGCCUUACAGGGGCAUCGACUCAAAUUUGCAACGACGAAUUUUAUACCCCUGCAAACUGUUUAGCUCAGUCUGGGAUGCAAUGAUUCAGUUUGGACAUCCAAUAUCAGUGCGGCGUUGAUGAGCAGUGGCGGGCGAGGCGUGGGAGGUGACGAUGACGAAUGAUAUGGUGAUUAGCAGGUAAAAGAAGCCGUUCAUUUCCAUUGCUCAGCGGGGGCCUCUUCGGGGACUCAUCUAGCAUCAGGCGUUAUUGGAGGAGAGAUGGCUCUCAUGGAUUAGGACGUUGCACAUCAUUGACGGGUCAUUCCAUGGAUUAAGACGUUGCACAUCAUUGACGGGUCGUUCCGCACACUGCUCUUGUUGUUUGUUCUUGACAUAUCAUGUGUGGUGCUGUACUUUCUGAAUCAGUUGGUGGUUUAUAGCAAGUACUAUCAUUCUGUCACUAUUCUGUCACUUUUGAACCACCGAUAUUGUAUGUGAUCAGUCCUCUAAACUAUAAAACUAUUGCUUUUGUGUUCAUACAAGCCUCUUAGUAUAUAUGAUGUCACUAUUAUUCUUUUAA